rnacentral:rRNA from 1 species
ACGGGAGGCAGCAGUGGGGAAUAUUGGGCAAUGGGCGAAAGCCUGACCUAGCAACGCCGCGUGAGGGAAGAAGGUUUUCGGAUUGUAAACCUCUGUCCAUGGUGACGAAGGAAGUGACGGUAGCCAAGGAGGAAGCCCCGGCUAACUACGUGCCAGCAGCCGCGGUAAUACGUAGGGGGCGAGCGUUGUCCGGAAUGACUGGGCGUAAAGGGCGCGUAGGUGGCUUUUUAAGUUAGAAGUGAAAGUCCUGCUUUUAAGGUGGGAAUUGCUUUUAAUACUGGAGAGCUUGAGUGCAGAAGAGGUAAGCGGAAUUCCCAGUGUAGCGGUGAAAUGCGUAGAGAUUGGGAAGAACACCAGUGGCGAAGGCGGCUUACUGGGCUGUAACUGACACUGAGGCGCGAAAGCGUGGGGAGCGAACAGGAUUAGAUACCCUGGUA